GACCGUCGAGGUGACCUGCACCUGGCUCCAUGGCGGAACCGGCCGGCACGGAUUAUUCCCCUCUCGGGAGAGGUCUGCAGCCGGGCCUCAGUGCUUCAGUUCGUGGCCUGGCAUUUUGUGAAGAGUGUCUUCAUCUCUGCAUCCCUAGUGCAACAGAGCAUGACAAAAAUUCAACAAAUAUUUAUUGAAGAGUCUUGAUGUCUUUUGGGAAAGGAACUCUAUGGUUACCUUUACUCUAAGGCAUUGUGAAGACCCUGUUUCUCUAGCUGUGCAGCUGCAAGGUCACUAGGCAGAUAAACUCAAGCCAUAAAACAUGUUUUUCCUUGAAAAAUUAGAUGGGUGUUACUGAUUCUUACCUCAGAGAAGAGAAUGUCAUGGAGACAAAAUGACCUGCUUAGAGUUCUGCACCCCCCAGCAUGGAGAGCAGAGCGCAAAGAUUUCUUCCGGACUCCCACAUUCCCCUUGGAAUCCAAGAACUGGUCUACUGUCACAACACUUUAGUACCCUCUUGUAAGCCUGUGGACAAAUCCUCUGAUGCCUUGAUACCUCGGUUUUCCCCCACUAUAAAUGGGAAGAUAAAUUCACUAGAAACAGUA
rnacentral:lncRNA from 1 species